rnacentral:rRNA from 1 species
AGCGAACGCUGGCGGCGUGCUUAACACAUGCAAGUCGAACGUGAAAUGUAGCAAUACAGAGUAAAGUGGCGUACGGGUGAGUAACACGUGGGUAAUCUACUAAAGAGCCUGGAAUAACUGACCGAAAGGUUGGCUAAUACUGGAUAGUUCAAAUGAAAUAUAAUGUUUCGAUUGGGAAAGGGAGCGAGCAAUCGCCUUCACUUUUUGAUGAGCCCGCGUCUGAUUAGCUAGUUGGUAGGGUAAUGGCCUACCAAGGCGACGAUCAGUAGCUGGUCUGAGAGGAUGAUCAGCCACACUGGAACUGAAACACGGUCCAGACUCCUACGGGAGGCAGCCGUGGGGAAUCUUGCGCAAUGGACGAAAGUCUGACGCAGCCACGCCGCGUGAGUGAAGAAGGCCUUCGGGUUGUAAAGCUCUGUCGGAAGGGACAAAAACGUUUAAGGUUAAUAGCCUUAGAUCUUGAUGGUACCUUCAAAGGAAGCACCGGCUAACUUCGUGCCAGCCGCCGCCGUAA